rnacentral:rRNA from 1 species
UACGUAGGUGGCAAGCGUUUGUCCGGAUUUACUGGGCGUAAAGAGCGCGCAGGCGGUCGUUCAAGUCGAGUGUGAAAGCCCCCGGCUCAACUGGGGAGGGUCACUCGAUACUGAUCGACUCGAAGGCAGAAGAGGGAAGCGGAAUUCCCGGUGUAGUGGUGAAAUGCGUAGAUAUCGGGAGGAACACCAGUGGCGAAGGCGGCUUUCUGGUCUGCUCUUGACGCUGAGGCGCGAAAGCUAGGGUAGCAAACGGG